UACGUAGGGUGCAAGCGUUAAUCGGAAUUACUGGGCGUAAAGCGUGCGCAGGCGGUUUUGUAAGUCUGAUGUGAAAUCCCCGGGCUCAACCUGGGAAUUGCAUUGGAGACUGCAAGGCUAGAAUCUGGCAGAGGGGGGUAGAAUUCCACGUGUAGCAGUGAAAUGCGUAGAGAUGUGGAGGAACACCGGUGGCGAAGGCGGCAUCCUGGACCAAUAUUGACGCUGAGGAGCGAAAGCGUGGGGAGCGAACAGG
rnacentral:rRNA from 1 species